GAACCGUGCGAACGUUGUUCGGAAUCACUGGGCUUAAAGGGCGCGUAGGCGGCUUGCCAAGUCAGGGGUGAAAUCCUGCAGCUCAACUGUAGAAGUGCCUUUGAUACUGGCGAGCUCGAGGGAGGUAGGGGUGGGUGGAACUUCUGGUGGAGCGGUGAAAUGCGUUGAUAUCAGAAGGAACGCCGGUGGCGAAAGCGACCCACUGGAUCUCUACUGACGCUGAGGCGCGAAAGCUAGGGGAGCAAACGGGAUUAGAUACCCCGGUAGUCCUAGCCCUAAACGAUGGGCACUAGAUUGCAGACUGAUCAUGGGUUUGCAGUCGAAGCAAAAGUGUUAAGUGCCCCGCCUGGGGAGUAUGGUCGCAAGGCUGAA
rnacentral:rRNA from 1 species